GCAGCCGGGACGGUCGAACGGUAACUCUUAAUCCGCGGGUUCGGGGUUCGAGUCCCUGGCGGCGCACCA
rnacentral:tRNA from 1 species